AGCGAACGCUGGCGGCAGGCUUAACACAUGCAAGUCGAGCGGGCAUCCUCGUGGUGUCAGCGGCAGACGGGUGAGUAACGCGUGGGAACGUGCUCUUCGGUUCGGAAUAACUCAGGGAAACUUGAGCUAAUACCGGAUACGUGCGAGAGCAGAACGGUUUGUCUGCCGAAGGAUCGGCCCGCGUCUGGUUGGCUAGUUGGUGAGGUUAUGGCUCGCCAAGGCGACGAUCAGUAGCUGGUCUGAGAGGAUGAUCAGGCACACUGGGACUGGGACACGGCCCAGACUCGUACGAGAGGCAGCAGUGGGGAAUAUAGGGCAGCGGGGGCAAUCCUGAUCCAGCCCGGCCGGGUGAGUGAUGACGGCCUUAGGGUUGUAAAGCUCUUUUCUUCGGGCCGAUAAUGACGGUACCGGAGGAAUAAGCCCCGGCUAACUACGUG
rnacentral:rRNA from 1 species